GUGCCAGCAGCCGCGGUAAUACGUAGGUCCCGAGCGUUGUCCGGAUUUAUUGGGCGUAAAGCGAGCGCAGGCGGUUUGAUAAGUCUGAAGUUAAAGGCUGUGGCUCAACCAUAGUUCGCUUUGGAAACUGUCAAACUUGAGUGCAGAAGGGGAGAGUGGAAUUCCAUGUGUAGCGGUGAAAUGCGUAGAUAUAUGGAGGAACACCGGUGGCGAAAGCGGCUCUCUGGUCUGUAACUGACGCUGAGGCUCGAAAGCGUGGGGAGCGAACAGGAUUAGAUA
rnacentral:rRNA from 1 species